GGCUGUUUGGCCGAGUGGUUAAGGCGGAAGACUCGAAAUCUUCUGGGUCAAUCCCGCGUAGGUUCAAAUCCUGCAGCAGUCG
rnacentral:tRNA from 1 species